ACAACAUUCGAAGCGUCGGUCUACCGGACAACAGAACCCGCUCGGUGGAAGAUCUUCCCUUUGUCCC
rnacentral:pre_miRNA from 1 species